CCCCACUCCCACCCUCACAGGCCCGUCUAUGUUCAAACUCAGCUGUAGCUCAUCUCUGCUGUAUCAUUCGCUGAACCUUGACCAGUUAGAGGCUGGCCUAGGUGUAAACAUGGACUUUGAAGUCCUCGGCCCGGCAGAGAUGACAAGGAGUAAUUUCGUAAAAGGUAACAUGGUGGUUUGGAUAAGGCCCCCAUAACUCGUGUGUUUGAAUGUGUAGGCAAUGGAUCUCUUAGGACCCGUGGCCUUGGAGUAGGUGUGGCCUUGUUGGAGUAGGUGUGGCCUUGUUGGAGUGGGUGUGGCCUUGUUGGAGUAGGUGUGGCUUUGGAGGAAGUGUGUCACUGUGGAGGUGGGCUUUAAGGUCUCCUAUGCUAAAGCUCUGCCAGUGCGGCACACAGUUUCCUUCUGCGGACUGCAAAUCAAGAUGUGGAACUCUCAGCUCCUUCUCCAGCACCAUGUCUGCCUGCAUGCCACCAUGCUUCCUGCCAUGAUGACAAUGGACCAAACCUCUGAAACUGUCUGAUCCGAGGUCCUCACUCAGGCUGGAGCAGCAAAUACUUUUACCCACUGAGUCAUCUCACUGCAACCUCCCCCACCCCCCGUUUUUAUUAAGAAAGCAGCUGACAUUAGAGUGGUGAGGAAGGAAAGGAGUCUGCAGUUUCUCCUAGAAAAGGCCGGACAGCCCGUGGUAAAUUAAGCACCUCAAAACUGAAAAUUCUGGCCUCAGAACAGGAACAAGGAAACUUCCACUGCCUGUAAGUUGUUCAGUCUCUUGUAUUCUGUUAUGGCAGUGUACAACCAACUAAAACAUCACAUGCGUCCAUCAAAAUGUACUAUUCCCUGCUGGAAUUAGAGUUGACUUGUUAGGAUGCUUGCCAAACAUCACAAAACACUGUCCCCAAGAGCCUACAAGACUAAGGGUGGUGACGUGUGCCUCCACACACCUCCAAUCCUUCAAGGCCAUCUUCAGCACACAGAAUGUUUGAGGCCAGCCUGGACUGUAUAACAUUCAAUUUAAAAAUAACAAAAUUCAAAGUACAUUGCAUCCCAUUAAAAUGUGAAAUUAUUCUGCC